AGUUCAUCUGGAAGCUACCCUUGAUUGCCUCUCUUCCACACUGCCAGGCACAUGACCGGUGAGGGGGGUGGAGGCCGCUGUGCUGGGUCACAGAACGCUUGGUUGGUGAGGGGGCACCAUGGCCUCCACCCGCUUUGGGCGGGCCUCCCUACCCUCUGGACUUUGCCCCACUGCUCUGGUGGGCCUGUGGCAGGCUGGGGUUGGAAUUGGUCCCUGAUGAAAAGCCAGGAUGCUCAGGGGCAAGGCACUCACCUCCGCCGUUCUUGUAGCACAGCCUGGAAUCUCGUUUCCCGGUGGACCAUCCUUCACCAAGGUUGUCCUGCCUGCCUAAUGUUUCCUCUUCACUUCCCAAUUAGGACCUAGGGAGAGUUGGAUAUCCAGGUGCAAAGUUUCUUGGUCCCUGCACCAAACAUGGAACCAAAGUCCUCCUGGAGAAACAAAGGCCAUAGAAGAGUUACUCAUAGUUACUCAUAGCACAUAUAUCCUGGAAGAUCUGGAGCCAUCCAAGGAACAAGGAGAGGGGUCAUUUAAGAGAAGAAAAAAGAGGAUCCCAAGGAAUGAGCACAAAGGACUCCAUUGCAGUAUAAAGAUCUGCAAAGGAAAAGGAGCUGCUACAACAGUUAUCUGGAUGAGGUUGGGCAGAGUCCAGUCAAUAGCAGGAAAAUCAGGCUGUAGAAGUGGGAACUGGAUAUGGGUUCUAUUGGGAAUUUAAGAUCCUGCUUGUCAGUGCCAGGAGUGGUGGCGCACGCAUUUAAGCCCAGCACUCGGGAGGCAGAGGCAGGCAGAUUUCUGAGUUUGAGGCCAGCCUGGUCUACAGAGUGAGUUCCAGGACAGCCAAGGCUACACAGAGAAACCCUGUCUUGAAAAAGCAAAAAAGCAAAAAAAAAAAAAAAAAAAGAUCCUGCUUGUCCAGGGAGCUGGACUGGGAAACAAAGGACGUAGUAGGCUGAGAAACAUGUGGGUGAGCUGAUGGCACUUUGAGGAGAUGGUCACUGCUGUGUGUGGGGAGGUUUGGAGUUCAAGAAGUCAAGACUGAGUGUAAGAGUGAGGGCAUCCCUCCAUCCUGGGCCUGUGAUGAGCAUCUGGGUGAAGAGGCCUGCGCCAACCCCAGGUACAGGAACAUAAGGAAGUAGUAUCAUCUCCACGUAGGCACGAAGAGGUACUUUAAGGUAUCAGUCACCCACACUUAGGCACCUGGGACUGCCACUGCUUUUCUGGGCUCAGAAGGUAGCCAGGGUGGAGGCAACUGGGAAACAGAAAUCAAAGGUCAUUAAGGAUAACCAAUGUGACCUUGAGGAUUCCUGGGCCUUUACAUCUCAGGGGCAUAAGUUUGACAGGUCUCAAGACCUGAUUCCAUGGGAUCCCACUUACCUCUUGUCUGGUAAUGAUACCACCUUCCAGCUCUCCCCCCCCUCCUCCCCAGUCUGUGGGUUACCCUAGAUUCCCUGCAGCCAGUCUUUCCUGCAGCAGUUUUCUUACCUACCUCAUCUUCUUAGGGCCUGAACCUCUCCAUACUCUAAUGACUAGCCCCAGGCUUAGGUCGCAUGUUAUGGUUUGUAUAUGCUCUGUCAAGAGAGUGGCACUAUUACAAGGUGUGGCCUUAUAGGAGUAGGUGUGUCACUGUGGGCAUGGGCUUUAAGAGCCUCAUCCUGGAAGUCAGUCUUCCACUAACAACCUUCAGAUGAAGAUGUAGAACUCUCAGCUUCUCCUGCACCAUGUCUGCCUGGAUGCUGCCUUGCUUCUGCCUUGAUGAUAAUGGAUUGAACCUCUGAACCUGUAAGCCAGUCCCAAUUAAAUGUUGUCCUUAUAAGA
rnacentral:lncRNA from 1 species